GCGCUGCUGAGGAGUCCCGCGAUAGGACGAAACGGCUGUCCAGUGC
rnacentral:hammerhead_ribozyme from 1 species